ACAUGGAAAAUGACAAAGUAUUUUACGUCUCGUCCGUAUUCCCUUAUGUCAUUAUGAGAGAUAUAAUUACUAAAAUGAGAGUAGGAGAGAGUGGGGGAGUGGGAGGCAGAGAAAGAGAGAGAGGGAGAGAAGAGAGAGAGAGAGAGAGAGAGAGAGAGAGAGAUAG